rnacentral:rRNA from 1 species
AUUGAACGCUGGCGGCAUGCCUAACACAUGCAAGUCGAACGGGGGUAGCAAUACCCUAGUGGCGGACGGGUGAGGAAUACGUAGGAAUUUGCCCUUAAGUGGGGGAUAACCCGGGGAAACCCGGACUAAUACCGCAUGAUCUCGUGAGAGCAAAGCAGGGGACCGCAAGGCCUUGCGCUUUUGGAGAAGCCUACGUCGGAUUAGCUAGUUGGUGGGGUAAUGGCCCACCAAGGCUACGAUCCGUAACUGGUCUGAGAGGAUGAUCAGUCACACCGGAACUGAGACACGGUCCGGACUCCUACGGGAGGCAGCAGUGGGGAAUAUUGGACAAUGGGCGAAAGCCUGAUCCAGCAAUGCCGCGUGUGUGAAGAAGGCCUUCGGGUUGUAAAGCACUUUAGGCUGGAAAGAAAAAGCUUUGGCUAAUAUCCAAAGCCUUGACGGUACCAGCAGAAUAAGCACCGGCUAACUUCGUGCCAGCCGCCGCUGUAAAAC